rnacentral:misc_RNA from 1 species
UCGAGUUUGGGUCCUUCGGGGCCCCAUCUCCAACCCUGUGUCUACCUUACCAUGUUGCUUCGGCGGGCCCGUUGGGCAACCAACCGCCGGGGGGUCGUUAAUUCACCCUCUGGCCCGCGCCCGUCGAUGGCCAACCAUUCAAAAAUCUUUGUUAAAUCAUGCUGUCUAAGUAUCAAAUUAAAAAUUAAGUAA